rnacentral:misc_RNA from 1 species
GCCGGGGUAUCGAACUCAGCAAUUCUACCGUCGCUUAGUACCAAAACCAGAUCACUGUCAACUACAGUCGGAAUUCGAUGUGCAAUUGUGCAUACAGUGCAGUCUCUGAACUCUGUUCUAAUAACCUUCUGGAUGAGAUUAUCUGUUGCCAUAUCAACCGAUGCUGUGGCUUCAUCAAGAACAAGUAUUCUGGCUUGUCUUAAAAGUGCACGGCCCAAUGCUACGAGUUGCCUCUGCCCUACACUCCAGUUAUCUCCAUUUUCAAGCACUGGUGUAUCGAGUUUUUGCUCCUUUUCGCGGAUCAUCU